AGGGGAGUAGCUCAAUUGGCAGAGCGGCGGUCUCCAAAACCGUAGGUUGCGGGAUCGAGUCCUGUCCCCCCUGCCA
rnacentral:tRNA from 1 species